ensembl:lncRNA
GGGGAUACUGACAUAUACACCAUCUCUACUCUGUGUUUUUAAAAGGGAAUUUUAGGUGGGGAAUUUGAUGACUAUUUAAUGGUAGCAAUCAGAAAUCAAGGCAUACAGAGGCAGAUGUCUCCAUCUGAUGCACAACCCACUGUUUUCCUUUUUAAGGAAUAACCUCUGAAAGUGACCCCUGAAAUUCCCUUUGUUCUGAAAGGAUGGGUGGAUAACUACACAGCAACUUCAUCGGCAAGUGUCAGGGCCACACUGGGAAUCAUACCUAGCCAAGGUCUUCCCGCCUCAGUAUCCUGGGUUCUAAGAGGAACAUCACUUCAGUGCAGAUGUGUUGACAGUACAGGACUGUCAAGGACACACAGAUCAGAGUGCAGAGGGCAGAGCUACCUGCUCCUGCUUUCUCCUUCUAUCCCUUCUAGGGAAGUUCACAAUUUCCUCUCCUGGGACCAAAGCGCAGAUCUCUCACUGCUAAAAGGAUCCUGUUACAGUGAACUUAACAUCAUUGAUUCCAGUCUCUCUCAAUGAUGUUUGCUUGAAAGUACUUUUUAUCAGAAGCAACAGCUCAUCCAGAGAUCCAGGCAACUUCUGGGAGAUAAGACUGCUGUCAUUCCCUCUCUGGGGCAGCUCUACAGGGAACAGAAAGAAGAGUAAACCUAUAGUAAAUGAAAG